GAGAUACUCCCUCCGUCCAACAAAAGAUGUCUCAAGUUUGUCAAAUUUUGGAUGUCUGGACAUGACUAAGUGUAUAGAUGCAUUCAAAUUUGAUCAAAGUUGAAACAUUCUUUGUUGGACGGAGGGAGUAAUAU
rfam:Brachypodium distachyon strain Bd21 chromosome 1, whole genome shotgun sequence.